AAACCAAUUCAAAUGGAUAUCCCUAAGGAACAUCUCUAUAAUGCCUCAGUGCUUCCGGUCCUUCCUUUCUCGAAAGCACUGCGAAGGCUGCCGGCAGCGUGGUUGUUCCUUUCGCGGGUUGGUGUCUGGCGCACAGCGCGAACGUCUCAUGAGCAAGAAGCCGUAGAGACGAUGCUCUCAAUGUUGGACACCGAAGUGAGGCAACUCAUCGGGCACAACGCCAAAAUGUCCCUGUUGUGUCCUGGCCCUGGGUCACGCGUGUCGCGCCUUGACAGCCGUGACCUUGAACGACCUUGACCGGCCGGGCCGGGCCGAGCGGCCGAGGGUCAGUAUCGUCCGAGCGGCGCUGGUGUCAACACAGCUGAGUGCCGCGAGGUGAGGUGAGGCGUGUUCGCCGAGACGGUCCGGCCGCAGUGAAAUAGUGAAAUAGUGGUGUAAUCGAUAAUAUGCGUGGCGUGGCCAGUACGCGAGUGAGAUUGACCCUGUGCGCGACACCGAUUCAGAGACGCACAUAAGUUAACACCGUCGUGUCGGAUCGCUCGUACCGGUGAUGGGAGACAACGAGCAGCUGGAGCGUCUGAUGGCGCUCAUGGUUCAGCAGUCAGCAGGCUGCCAUGCUGGAGUAGCUCCUCCCCAGCCAGAUGCAGCUACCAGCUGCGCAAACUGUCUAGAGCGGCCAACCGGCUGUCGUCGCCUCCGCCGCUCCUAUGGCUAGACUUCGGUCUCACAUGGACUGCCGUCGGUAGUGUUCACAUGCCAGCCCAUGCAUUUUACCUGUAUUAACUUUUUAAUGUCUGUGCCUGUGUAACUAUUGUACGUGCCUGUACUUAACAGUGUUUGAAUUGUACAUCGUUCGCACAGUCUGUGGACCGUGGGGAGUGCCGCUUGACAUGCAUUUUUGCACUUACCUGCAUUCCGUGUUAAAAGUAAAGUAAAGGAACUGAGCUGUCGUGCACCGGGAGAUAUUAUGGUCUCUUGCUAAACGACACAGUUGAAACCCAGCACGCUGGUCGGUACUGACUGGGGCGGCAAGCGAAAGGGUUUGGGCAGCUUUUGAAACAAAAUGUUCGCAUCGAAUGACUGCAUCGCAUGUUCUGUUCCAGAGUGAGUUUUUUGACAUCUGACACAAUAAAUAUACAUGCCUGUU
rnacentral:lncRNA from 1 species